ensembl:snRNA U2 U2 spliceosomal RNA
AUUUCUUCUCAGCCUUUUGGCUAAGAUCAAGUGUAGUAUAUGUUCUUAUCAGUUUAAUCCUCUAUCUGAGAACAAUAUAUUAAAUGGACUUCUCCAUUAGUGGCAAGACAGUAA